AGAUGCAAUUCUGGAAAAGAAAAAAAUGCAGAAGGUUUUCACAGCCAGAGCGUGCAUUGCAAAGCAUGAGACCUUCGGUUCAGGACACUGCAAGCCUCAGAAAUACCUGUUGGUUACCAGGAGCCACGUGACUGUGGGGAUGCUGCCACGGCCGUUACCUAAAGUCCCAGAAACAAUUUUCCAGCUCAAGUCUUAAAGACAUGGAA